UGAGGCCUAGUCCUGUUACCCACAGAGAGC
rnacentral:piRNA from 1 species